CACAUCAUGUCUCCAUAGCACCUUCUCUUCCCAACAGCUUAAUCCACAAACCUAAUUUCACUUCUCCUCGCUCCGUAGGUGGCUUCAGGGCCGGGAGUGUCGGGGCAGACUGUCCCUCCAGAGACUCCCACGGGCACAGAGGGACCCCAGGUCACCCAACAACAUGGUGUGGGAUGGGGCAAGGAGCAGAGAGCAGCCCAAAACCUGCUGGGUCCCCUCAGGGGCAACCUCAGCUGCACUCAGGGCUGAGGAGGCCUCCACAGAAGGCUCUGUGCAGUUCAGAAGGCGCCUAGGAGGAAGGGGAAGGUGUUCCAGGUCUUUGCAACAAAGCAAUGGAGAGACAAAGCAAAAGCCAGGAAGAAGGGCCUCUUUUCCAGGGCCAGCAUCAUAGCCACAUCUGGACCUGGAGGCUUGACUCGGUUAAUGACAGCAGGUGCCCAGAGCUCUCCUGGCUGCCUGCCGCACAUGGAUGGAGACCUGGCGAUCGCCCUGGGCAAAAAACGUCAAGCCUCCUACACGUGGUGUGACGUUGGCCAAGUCAGUACCCACUUCUGAACCCCAGGCUCUGCCCAGGUAAAAGCAGGAGGUGACGUCCCCUGAGCUUCAAGUCUCUGUCACGGCUCCACCAAGCAACCGAGUGCGAUCGCUAACACAAAGUGUCACAUCUUCCAGGCAGUGUGCCUUCUUAAAGGCCCCUAGACAGGACGAUGCUGAACUCAGAGAAACCCCCCAUGCAUGCUAAAACCUGAGGCACGGCCCACGUGGUGCAGGGGAGAUGUGGUUCCAAGGAGCCCAUCACGUUUCAGCAGGUAGGGGACUGCUUACCUGGGAGGCCCGAACCUCGGUCUUUAAAAAAAAAACACUGGCUUGGUGAAUCCUCACUGUGAAAAGCCCCCACCAGCUCCCCUACCCCACCCUCCACCCACCUGCAUAGCAUGCAGUGAGAAAAGCCAGGCGGAUUGGGCUCAGUCUUGGUUCACCACGUCCAAGCUGUGACUUUGCACACAUCACUUCCUCUGUCUGAGCCUCAGUCUCCUCAUCUAUAAAAUGGGAGUCACGGACCUUCCUGCCAAGGUUGUAGGGAGAUCCAGUCUCCCCACCAUAUCC